GUGCCCACUUGGGCAGCAUUUACACUAAAAUUGGAGUCACACAGAGAAGAUUAGCACAGCCCUUGUGCAAGGAUGACAUGUGACUCUGUGAAGCAUUCCAUGUUUUU
ensembl:snRNA U6 U6 spliceosomal RNA